rnacentral:lncRNA from 1 species
UAUAUUUUCUGCAAUAUUUUCAACCCAAGUAUUUUGCGAUAAUAUUUCGGUCGCUCUGAUUGGAUACAGAGGACAGAAAAUAACCAAUGGGAUGUUUGAUUUUGUUAACCAAUGAGUGAGCCACUUUGAUGGAUUUUUAACCAAUGGUCUUACGAGUUUCUCGUUCUCAACCAACCGGUUUUAGAAUUCGGUUAGUUGACGUCAUGAGAAAGUAUAAAAAUUGAUUCAUCACCGUUUUCCAUUAAUCGCGUUGUGUGUCUCAAAGAAGAGGAGUACGGUCUGCUGGUCUACCUGUUAAAGUUUUGGAAUAAUCCAACAGUUACCAUACCUGAGAAAUGGCUCGUACCAAGCAGACCGCCCGUAAGUCCACCGGAGGAAAGGCGGCCAGGAAAAGUGCGCCAUCCACCGGAGGAGUGAAGAAGCCCCAUCGUUACAGGCCAGGAACAGUGGCUCUGAGGGAGAUCCGUCGUUACCAGAAGUCUACUGAGCUGCUGAUCCGCAAGCUGCCCUUCCAGCGCCUGGUGAGAGAAAUCGCCCAGGACUUCAAGACGGACCUGCGUUUCCAGAGUGCUGCCAUUGGCGCCCUUCAGGAGGCCAGCGAAGCAUACCUGGUGGGUCUGUUUGAGGAUACCAACCUGUGCGCCAUCCACGCCAAGCGUGUCACCAUCAUGCCCAAAGACAUCCAGCUGGCCCGCAGGAUAAGGGGAGAGAGAGCCUAAAUGGUACUCGACCUCCUGCUCGAGACACACAAUCCUAUUUAUCCCACUUAACCAUUUUGUGAAUUUUUUUUAAUGUUAUUUCUUGGGUUUUUCCUUUUGUAAUGUAUUUUAGAAUGAGGUAACGAUCAGAUAUGGUUAGUGUGCAGAUAGGAUGAUCAGCUUGCCUUCAAUUGCAAAUGAGGCUUGUUUUUAUCUUAGAGGAUAGAAAGUGUUACAUGACUGUCACCGUGUUGACUUCAGUCAGGUGGCCUCUUCACAUGUUAACUGGGUCAUUUAGGGUGACAGUAAUACAUACUCUAGAUGACAGCGCCUUUGUGGUUGGGGGGGUGGGUUUAUGAGGUAAAAGAACGAGUCAGCUCUGUCAGCUUCCGGGGUGGUGUGUCAGGGUCUCAUCUAUUUCCACCCUUUGUCUCAGCAGUCUGCCAGCAUGUCUUGCACAACAGUUCACUCCUAGCACUCCAUAAUGGUGUCAGGGGGAUUGUCUAUGCACAGUUACUCCUCCUGACACUGUCAGGGAUGGCCAGGAGCAUGACCAAGACUCUGUAUAUUCUGGACUGUUUUUUACAAUGUUAUUUUUCAAACAUGCAACAAACCUUGGCAGCUACAUUUAAUAUUUAUGAUUGUCACAUUGUCUUUCUAUUAAAUGUCUUUACAAGUAAAUGCUUGUUUGGUUUUCAUUAUCCACUAGGUGCUUUAACAAU